rnacentral:rRNA from 1 species
UUCCGGUUGAUCCUGCCGGAGGUCACUGCUAUUGGAGUUCGAUUAAGCCAUGCGAGUCGAGAGGGUUCGGCCCUCGGCGGACGGCUCAGUAACACGUGGGUAAUCUACCCUCAGGACAGGGAUAACCCCGGGAAACUGGGGAUAAUACCUGAUAGGUGGAGAUAUCUGGAACGAUUCUUCACUUAAAGCCCCGGCGCCUGAGGAUGAGCCUGCGCCUGAUUAGGUUGUUGGCGGUGUAAUGGACCACCAAGCCAAAGAUCAGUACGGGCAGUGAGAGCUGUAGCCCGGAGAUGGGGGCUGAGACACGGCCCCAGGCCCUACGGGGCGCAGCAGGCGCGAAAACUCCGCAAUGUUCGAAAGAGCGACGGGGGAACUCCAAGUGCACUUGCGCAAGCAAGUGGUUUUUAGCAGUGUAAAUAGCUGUUAGAAUAAGAGCUGGGCAAGACCGGUGCCAGCCGCCGCGGUAACACCGGCAGCUCUAGUGGUGAUCGUUUUUAUUGGGCCUAAAGCGUUCGUAGCCGGUCUAGUAAGUCUUUGGGUAAAUCUUUUCGCUUAACGAAAGGAAUUCCGAAGAUACUGCUGGACUUGGGGCCGAGAGAGGUUGGAGGUACUCCUGGGGUAGGGGUGAAAUCCUAUAAUCCUGGGGGGACCGCCAGUGGCGAAGGCGUCCAACCAGAGCGGACCCGACGGUGAGGGACGAAAGCCAGGGGCGCGAACGGGAUUAGAUACCCCGGUAGUCCUGGCUGUAAACGCUGCAUGCUAGGUGUUGCAUGCUCUACGGGGGCAUGCAGUGCCGAAGAGAAGUUGAUAAGCGUGCCGCCUGGGAAGUAUAUCGCAAGGUAGAAACUUGAAGGAAUUGGCGGGGGAGCACACAAGGGGUGGAGUCUGCGUUUAAUUGGACUCACGCGGU